AGGGGUUUAGCUCAGUGGUAGAGCGCUUGCCUAGCAAGCACAAGGCUCUGGGUUCGGUCCCCAGCUCUG
rnacentral:tRNA from 1 species